AAUCAAGGAUUUUCCAUAAAAAAACGAACACUGCUUUGAGAAAAUUAGGCUAAAUGCAUAACGCCUCAGAUUAGCCUGUGCAGUCUGCAAUCUGAUUUGGUGGAAUAUUUUCAAAGGAAGUAUCCUCCAUAAGAAACUCAAGUUUAUAGUAUAUAGGCGUAAAGUAUCAUCCAUGAUUAGCCUGCGUGGAAAGGCUAAUCUGGAACAAAACUUUAUGCAUCUGAAUUAAACCCGAUUUUACAAGAGUACGACUCAGAUGAAUGAUAUUAUCAAGAUUUCAGAUUUAAAAAUUAAUUUUAUAUUUCCAGAUGUAGUUUUUAAGACAGACUUUCUCCAUGGACUGGUGUCCAUUCAGUCGAACAGCGAUCAUUCCGAAGAGAACUGAUUGACCGACAAACUGCUACGCAGGAGUUUAGCAGCCUCUGGUUCAAGCCUCGAACGUGCUAGCAACAAGAAAAUCCCCUUGAGACUGUAAACGUCUUAGAAAUAAACGUUCACACCGCAUAAGGGAAAAG